AUUAGUUAACAUUUCCCUUUUUCUUCACUCUUUAAUCCGUGAAGGUUUUUGUGAUAGUUUGGAUCCAGGUGGUAUGAAAAGAAUUGUCCCAAGGUGUUUCUCUUCCAGGAAAAGAAUCAAGACAUCUGUGGAUGACGUGCUAAGGUAGUCAUUGGCAACUUCUCUUCCAUUUCCUGGUUGGCUCAUUGUUUACCUAAUUGCCAGUAAUAAUAUUUCAUUGUGUAAAGAAUGUUGGCACCAGGGGCCCAGGUUCCAGUUUAUUGAUGGCUCAGAGUUUAUGAAUUGAUGCCCUCAGCAGGUUGCUGCCCUGAUGAAUGGCAAUUACUGUGGCUCCCACAGAGGCGAUUGUAGCCAGAGCAUUUACUCCUUUCAAAUAAUUGCCCCUGAGAAGCUGAACAGGUAAUCCGCAUGCAGAUUUUUUUCUGCUCCAAGGCCUACAGUGCUACUUCAACUGGUUUGCUGGGAAUUACUAAGAUCACCUUGGCAGAAUUAAGCUCAACCAGUUAAAAGAAUAACUUAUGGGAGAAAUGUCAGAAAAGAUGAAAACUCAAAUUAUGUGCUUGCAUAUAGUGUCUGAGCUGACACUGCAACUGGCCUUUCUUGGUGUUCCUGGCCAUCUGCCUGACAUCCAGAGUUGCCUGCAUUCUGACAAGACAGAGUGGCUCACCUAGCUUCGGAACAACAUCAGAGGUGCCAACACAAAGUAGACCAGAUGCACCAUCCAAAAUACUGCUCCGUAGUUAUUCCAAACCCAAGACUAAGCCAGGAGUUGUUCCAAAAAUACAUCACUUAUAUUUUGGCCUGAGUGUCACUUCCCUACUUGGCAAGCUAGGGCUAGAGGAAUUGGAACAGAGCUUUCCUGUUAGCCUCUCAUGUUCUCUCUUUCAGAUUCACAUCUUUUACUUAUCCCAUCUCUAAUAUGACAGUUGCC
rnacentral:lncRNA from 1 species